GGUUCCAGGGAUGUUCAGGGCCCAGACCCUGUCUGCAGUCAACCCAUCCAGCCUUUGUCUUGGCAUGGAAGCAGCCUGGAUCCCCAGGGCCCAGGCGACACCCUACCACCCUUGCCAUGUCACCUCCCAGACCUUCAGAUUCCAGGAAUCUAUGGGCCUUCACAGGGCCCAGGGGGCUCCUGAUGCCCCCUUCCACAUGUGAGCCAGGACAUGAGGCUUCCCUGAAGCAAGGAUUUCAGCCAGAUGCCAUAGACCCUCAGAACUUGACCUGGAAGUCCAGACACUGAACGCAGGCCUCAAAACUGCUGCGGCCUUCCAACUCCUGGUAUCUGCAUCGGCGAAUGGCCCUUCUUGCCUUGAUCCACAGGGAUGGGGAAGGGAGGAAUGUCAUUAAUGUUUUGUUAAUACUGAUUCUUUCAUGC
rnacentral:lncRNA from 1 species